AUGGUGUCUUCAAGUGCCUUUUUGUUUCCAGGCCUCUAUCGUUUUCUCUGCCUCUUCUUGGGCUUCUUCUGCAGCCUGCCAUUACUAGGCAUCUGCGAUGAAUCAGAGAGCGACAGGCAAGCCCUCCUCUGCUUCAAGUCCGGGAUCUCGGCACCCGCCGGAGUUCUAGCUUCAUGGAGCAACGCGUCCAUGGAAUUCUGUGACUGGCAUGGGAUCACCUGCAGCGUGACACCAUCCAGGCGUGUCGUUGCGCUGGACCUUGAAUCCCAAGGCAUCUCGGGCUCCAUAGCGCCUUGCAUCGCCAACCUCACUUGGCUGGCAAGGCUCCAGCUGUCUAACAACAGCUUCAGUGGUGGCCUGCCGUCGGAGCUUGGCCUCCUGAGCCGGCUCACCAACCUCAACCUCAGCAUCAACGCUUUGGAAGGUAACAUCCCGCCUGAACUCUCUGCGUGUUCCCAGCUCCAAAUCGUGGGCUUGUGGAAUAAUUCCUUCCGUGGAGAGAUCCCACCUACCCUUAGCCAAUGCAAGCACCUUCAAGAGAUUGACCUUAGCAACAACAAGCUCCAAGGAAGCAUCCCUCCCGCUUUCGGAGACCUUCCUGCACUGUGCAUACUAGUUCUCGCCAAAAACAUGCUUACCGGCACCAUACCACCGUCUUUCGGCAGUAGCUGUCAUCUCACAUACGUCGAUCUCGGGAUCAAUGGUCUCGGAGGGGUAAUCCCGGAGUCCUUGGCAAAUAGCUCAUCCCUUCAAGUACUUAGGCUUAUGAGCAAUAGUCUUACUGGAGAACUCCCAAAGGAUCUUCUCAACACUUUGUCACUUGGUACCAUUAGCCUCGAAGAUAACAGUUUUGUUGGUUCAAUACCCUCUAUUACUGUCACAUCUUCCCCUAUUAAGCAUCUUGAUUUAGGGAAUAACAAUCUUUCAGGAAGAAUACCUUCCUCAGUAGGGAACCUUUCCUCCCUAGUUUAUCUUCGUCUUACAAACAAUCAUUUAGUUGGGAGCAUCCCGGAGAGCUUAGGUUAUAUUCCAACACUAGAGACAUUGACCUUGCAUAUAAACAACUUAUCUGGGCCGGUUCCACCGUGUAUCUUCAACAUGUCAUCUCUGAGAAGUCUCGCCAUAGCAAAUAACACACUUGUCGGAAGAUUACCCUUCGACAUCGGCUACACGCUCCCCAAUAUCCAGAACCUACUACUCUCACAAAAUAGUUUUGAUGGACCAAUCCCAGCCUCACUUCUCAAAGCUUACCACCUACGCUGGCUUUACCUGAAUGGUAAUAGCUUUACUGGAUCCAUACCAUUUUUCGGCUCAUUGCCAAAUUUGGAGGAACUCGAUUUGGGACACAACAAGCUAGAAGCAGAUGACUGGGGCUUUGUCUCUUCACUAUCUAAUUGCUCCGGGUUGACCAUGCUGGCCCUGGAUGGGAACAAUCUCAAAGGGAAAUUGCCAAGUUCUAUCGGCAACCUUUCGAACAGUCUCGAGUGUCUGUACCUAAGUAGUAACCAAAUUUCUGGACCUAUACCACCAGAGAUUGGCAAUCUUAAGAGCCUCAGUAGCUUGUACAUGAAUUACAAUCUUCUCACCGGUAAUAUACCACCAACAAUUGGGAAAUUGCAGAACUUGGUCUAUCUAUCCUUUGCGCAAAACAGGCUUUCAAGUCAGAUUCCAGAUACUUUUAGCAAUUUUGUCCAGCUGAGUAUGCUGGAAAUGGAUCAUAACAACUUUAGUGGAAGAAUACCUGCAAGUAUAGCACAGUGCACUCAACUGACCACACUCAACCUUGCUCACAACUCACUAGAUGGGCAUAUACCAAGAGAAAUCUUCAAACUCUCUACGCUUUCUGAAGAGUUGGACUUGUCAGACAACAACUUGUCUGGAGGAAUGCCAGAUGAAGUUGGCAAUCUCAUUCAUCUGCAGAAAAUCAACAUGUCAAAUAACAGGUUGUCUGGUAACAUCCCAUCAACUCUCAGCCAGUGUGUUGUUCUGGAGUAUCUUGGGAUGCAAAGCAACUUGUUUGCAGGAAGCAUUCCACAAUCAUUUGCCAACUUAGUCAGCAUAAAACAGAUGGAUGUUUCUAGGAACAAUUUGUCUGGAAAAAUUCCAGAGUUCCUCAAAUCCAUGAAAUCACUGCAAGACCUCAAUUUAUCCUUCAACCAUUUUGAUGGAGCAGUUCCAACAGGCGGUGUUUUUGACAUCGCUGGUGCAGUGUCAAUCGAAGGAAAUUAUCAUCUGUGUACAAGCAUUCCAACAAGAGGUAUGUCUCUUUGUUCAGCAGUGGUUGACAGGAAAAGAAAGCAGAAGCUACUGCUUCUAGUUCUACUGCUAACUGUUGUUGCCACUGCAAUCCUUUUCUCAUUAAUUGCAACAAUUUGUUUGAGGAAAAGGAUGAAAACCAAUCCCCAUUUGCAACAUGAUAAUGAGCAGAUAAAGAUAGAGAAGAUAGCAUAUGAAAAGGUAUCAUAUAAAGACUUGGUAAGGGCAACUGAUAGAUUUUCUUCAGCAAACUUAAUUGGUUCUGGAUCAUUUGGAAGGGUUUAUAAGGGCAGUCUGCAGUUUCAAGAAGAUCAAGUUGCCAUCAAGAUUUUUGAUCUUGACAUUAAUGGGGCACAUCGGAGCUUCAUAGCAGAGUGUGAAGCCCUAAGAAAUGUUCGCCAUCGGAAUCUUGUAAAAAUCAUUACCUUAUGCUCUUCAGUGGAUCAUACUGGGGCAGAUUUCAAGGCCCUAGUGUUCCCAUACAUGCCAAAUGGGAACCUAGAAAUGUGGCUACAUCUAAAAGACCCUGAAAAUGGUGAAAGGAGUAUUCUGACUUUAAGCCAAAGGACUAACAUAGCCUUGGAUGUAGCACUUGCUUUGGAUUAUCUUCACAACCAAUGUGCACCUCCAGUUAUACAUUGCGACUUGAAGCCAACCAAUAUUCUUUUGGGUCUUGACAUGGUUGCGUACGUCAUUGACUUUGGCCUAGCAAGAUUCUUGUUCAGGACAGAAAAUGCACAUCAAGAUAGUUCAGCAACUUUGAGCCGCUUAAAAGGAACCAUAGGAUACAUCCCACCAGAGUAUGGAAUGAGCGAAGAGAUAUCAACCAAGGGUGAUGUCUAUAGUUUCGGGGUGCUUCUGUUGCAACUGAUAACAGGGUGCAGUCCAACUGAAGAAAAAUUUAAUGAUGGUAUAAGCCUUCAUGAAUUUGUUGAUAGAGCAUUUACAAAGAAUAUUCACGAGGUUGUUGACCCCACAAUGCUACAUGAUAACAGCAGUGCAACUGACAUGAUGAAGAAUUGCGUUAUUCCACUUUUAAGAAUAGGCCUCUCUUGCUCCAUGAAAUCAGCCAAAGAGCGGCCAGAUAUGAGACGAGUUUCUACCGAGAUCCUUAGAAUAAAGCACAUGGCCUCAUACACAUGCAUGUCAGAUGAAGCAAAGAAUUGGCAGGAAAGUAGCUAG
rnacentral:rRNA from 1 species